rnacentral:lncRNA from 1 species
UAUUAAGUAAAUAACAUGUGUAUUUUCUCAAAAAAAGAGUAAAUAACAUGUGUAGAGUUAAUAUGCUAUCGGAAAUAUAGAGAAUUUGAUAUUUUUAAUUUUUUAAUCUUUGAAUUAAAAAUUGUACGAUUGGAAUGAUUGCGAUCCCCCCUAAGCUUAAGUAGUACUCCUAGAAUUGAGUGAUCCCCACAAGGUAAUAGUAUUAAUUUGAAGAUUAGAAAUAAUUAAAGGGGCUGAUCUACAGACCAAAACGUUGGAAACAUCAGAUUCUCUAGUCUUUCAAUAGCAUAAUAGCUCUACUCAAAUAAUAUUAUACUAAUCAAUUUGUAUACUAUUUUUUUGGAACAGAUACAUAGAUAGGUUGCUGGCAUGUUAGUGCACCCUUCCGAAAUUCUCGCUCCGUGCUCCUAAGAGCACGGAAACCUCUAUACGCCUAAACCGUUUUUGAUGCUCUUAGGAGUAUGCAGACCUCCGUACUCUUAAAUUAUUUUCGAUGAUGAAAUUUUCAAAUCGACGAUCGGCUCUAUUAGAUUUGAUCUACCGUAUUUGAAUUAUUUAGAAAAUAAAUUUUGUAACUUUUUGAUAUCAUUUACCUAACAAUCAGAAAGUUCAAAAUCAAUAAUCUUUAAUGGUUGAUGCCUGUCGUUUUCAAGUUUAACGGUGUAAGAGUAUUCAAAUCAGAUAAAAUUUUGAUAAAUUUUUUUUUUAUAUUAUCUACAACAAGAUCAAUAUUUUUGAUCGAAAAUUUUAGUAUUAUAUCACCAUUUUUUUAAAGAUUUUUAUUUUCAGCUAUUGCUUUUGAACCCUUUCGAUCGCUCAGUAAAUAAUAUUGAAAAAUUACAAAAUUUAUUUUUUCGAUACUUCAAAUUUAUUAGAUCAAAUUUAAUAGAGCCGAUCGUCGAUUCGAAAAUUCAAUCAUGGAAAACGGCCUAGAAACACAGAGGCUUUCGCGCUCCUAAGAGCACAGUAGUGCUGCUCUCUCUCUCUCUCUCUCUCUAUAUAUAUAUAUAUACAACAAGAUCAAUAUUUUUGAUUGAAAAUUUUAGUCCUAUAUUAUAACUUUUUGUGAUAUUUUUAUUUUCAGCUGUUGAUUUUUAAUCUUUUUUAUUACUAGGUAAAUGAUAUCGAAAAUCGUAAAAUUUGUUCUCUAAAUAGUUCAAAUAUGCUAUAGCAAGUUUAGCGGAGCCAAUUAUCGAUUCAGAAAUUCUAUCAUUGAAAACAGUUUAAGAGUAUGCGGUUUCCGUGCUCCUAAUAUCCCACAAGUACUAAUGGUUUUAUCUGAUAAUAA